rnacentral:lncRNA from 1 species
UCUCAAGCCACCUAAUGUGGUGAGAAGUCACGGGGGACAUCUGGGGUUCGGCAAAUAAGUCAGGGAAGUUGGUGUGGCACCAAUUUCCACCGACCGCUUCGCGAAAGCAGCUCGAGAGGAACUGAGCGGACACGCAGGAGAAGAAAAUGUGGUUCGAGUCUUCGGGGACCCCACAGAGCGGGCAGAUGCCAGUACCCGGGCCAUUUCGCUUGCGCACCUCCACCCCGGAUGGGACCCGACCGCGAAUCCAUUGCCACAUGAAGAUACGGAUCUUCAGGGGCAGGCGGAUGGACCACACCAUCGAUAAGGGGAGGGGGGCGGAAGAUGGAGCGAUGGCCAGGUACAGCGACUUGGUGGAGAAUUGGCCCGAAGGUUCAAGGCGCCAGCGCACCAGGUCAGGGCCACCAUCCACCAUCGGUUCGUGGAGAGCAACACAGUCAAGCAACUCACGCCAGGCGGCGGAUUCCAAGGGACCAAAAGGCCAUCGGAAAGCAAGGCGCCCUAAGUUAAGAAGGGCCCUAUCAACAAAAAUCACGGGAUCGACGGAGAUGGAGAAGAGGUCGGGAAAGCGAGCCGCAAAGGGAGUGUCCCCGGCCUAGCGAUCAAACCAGAAUAGCGUCGAUGCCCUGGAGCCCACCGAGAUGGAGGUCCCGAUACGGAGGACCGGGAGAAGCUGGACAAUCGACUGCCAGAACUGGGAUCCGCCAGACUUCUGGCAGAAGGCGAGGGGCUGUCCGCGCAAGUAUUUGUUCCGGAUGAUAUCAAGCCAAAGGCCAUCGUGCCCUUGCGAGAUGCGCCAAAGCCAGCGGGAGAGAAGGGCGAUAUUCAUCUGUUUAGAGCACAUGAUGCCAAGGCCACCUUGCUCCCUGGGCUCAAAUGUCAGGCCAACUGACCAUAUGAUACUUCUGCUUGUCGUUGUCGCCCGCCCAGUAGAAGCGGGACUGGACCUUGGCGAUCUCAUGCUGAAGGGUCUCGUGGAGACUGUAGAAGCUCAUGAGAAACAAGAGGAGGCUGGAGAGGGAAGAGUUGAUGAGAAUAGUCCGUGCCGCCUUGGUCAGCCACCUCCCCUGCCAGGGCUCGAUGCGCGUUUGGAGCUUGGCCACGGAGGGGCGCAAGUCCGCGACGGUGAGCCGGGAGUCAUUAAUGGGCGUCCCCAGGUAGGUUGUGGGGAAGGAGCCCAGGCGGCAAUUAAGUCUGUUCGCGAUGGCCAAAGACUCCGAGGGGGAGUAUCCCAUCACCAUAACAUCACUCUUGUCGAAGUUGAUCUUGAGGCCCGACAUCUGUUGGAAGCAGAGAAGUAGGAACUUGAGGUUGGAGAUGUCCGUCUCCGAGCCUUCGACCAUGAUGAUUGUGUCGUCAGCAUACUGGAGGAUGGAGAUCCCGGAGCCACCGGCAAGAUGGGGAGUGAUCCCAUGAAUAUGGCCGGCGGCUUUCGCCUUAUCCAGAAUGGAGGUAAGCGCGUCCACAACCAUAUUGAACAACAAUGGGGAGAAGGGGUCGCCUUGUCGUACCCCACAAAGGGUGGGGAAGAAAGGGCCGAUCUCGCCGUUGAUGUUCACGGCCGUGCGACCGCAAGAGACCAUUUGCAUGACUCUAGUGAUCCACCGGUCGUCAAAUCCCUUCCGAAGAAGGACUUCCCGAAGGAAGGGCCAGCUAAUCGUAUCAUAGGCCUUAUGGAAGUCAAUCUUCAGGAAAACCGCCUUGAGGUGUUUGAUGCGGACCUCAUGAAGGACCUCAUGAAGGACUAGGACCCCAUCCAGGAUGUAACGGCCCUUUAUGAAGGCCAACUGGUUGGGGUGAGUCACACGGUCCGCCAGUAGGGUCACCCUAUUGGCGUACCCUUUGGCCAGGAUCCGGAAAAUCACAUUAAUGACCGUGAUAGGGCGAAAAUGAUGGAUGUCGGACGUCCCAGGGACCUUGGGGAUGAGGGAGAUGAUCCCAUAGUUGAGGCGCCCGAGAUCAAUGGAGCCAACGUAGAAUUCGUCGAAUAUGGCCAUGACCUCAGGUUUAAUCACUUUUCAGAAGGUCUGGAAAAAUUUAACCGGGAGGCCAUCCGGUCCCGGCGCCGAGGAUGGGUUCAUGCCCUUGAUGGCAUCCCAGACCUCUUGCUCGGAGAAGGGGGCCGUAAGGGCCGCGUUCUCCGAAACAGACACCAACUGGGAACCAGACCAGCAAUCGGGGGCGAGAGAGAUGCCGCUUCGAGGGGCGGCAGAGAAUAAGGAUCUAUAGAAACCGUCGACGUGGGAUCGGAUGUCACGAGGGUCUUGAAGGAGAGCCUCACCGUCCCACAAGAGAGGGAUGGUGUUGCGUCUACGGCGGCCGUUGGCAAUGGCCUGGAAGUAUGCCGUAUUCGCGUCGCCUUUCAAGACCCAUUUCUGGGCACCACGGAGGCGCCAAUAGGCCUCCUCAUCGGUGUAGAUCACGGAGAGCUGGUCUUCCAGGUCAUAACGGGAGAGCCACUCAUCCGGGGAAAGACCCACCGAGUCAGCACGCAGGUCAAGGGCCUGGAUCGCGGACAACAACGCCUUCUUGCGCUCACGGAGGUCACGACCCAGAUUCGCACCCCACCCCUUAAUGAACUGCCGACCGUGUUUCGCGCAGAAGUGCCACGAAUCAAUGGCCGAAGGGGGGCGGGAGUGGGGGUGGCUGUCAGGACCCUGACUCAAUGCCACAUCGAUCUAGCAUGUAACACCUCAUAUCACUUUGCGGCCUCACGCACGGUAUUCCCACGGGUGUCGCCUUACCUUUGCCCGGGACCGUUUGCGCCUUUUGGCACACGUAUAUGAUAGUGUCGCUAGCAUCCAUAUGAUAAGGAGCCCGGGCUGACAUGGCUAGUCGUAAACCCAAAGUGGCACAAACUUACAGGGACAGGCAUCCAUGACCCAGCAUCAAACGUGUCGAUCAUCAGCGAGUGAAUCCAGGCUGUAGCACUGGGCUAGCAGGACUCCGGUGAACCGGGCUGUAGCGGGCUAACAGGACUCCGGUAUUCAUCGCGUGACAUUUCCCCGAGGGGACAGACACAGGAACGAAGAAGGACACAUGCCGCCAGCCUAAGUGUUCCGGAGCAGUAGCAAGCUACCAUGGCUCGGCGGAAACACUAGGAGACAUUUCCCGGUAAGAGAGGCUACUAAGGAUAAACAACUAGAUAGUCAGAUCCCACACAUACCAAGCAUUUCAAUAACAUACACACAAUAUGCUCGAUAUGUGCAAAUACAACAUGGCAUCACAACAUGACUCUACGACCCAAGUAUGUAUUCAUUAGGCUCCGAGGAGCGAGAUAUUACAAACAGGGGUCUCAUGACCCAACAUUCAGAGCAUACAAAUCAAAGCACAAGCGGAAGCUUAACAUGUCUGAGUACAGACAUCUACAAAUGAAAAAGGCUGAGAAGCCUGACUAUCUACCAGAUCCUGCCGAGGGCACAAGAUCGUAGCUGAGGUAACAAGCUAAACGUCGAAGUCCACGCGGAACUACUAGCGAGACCGAAGUCUCUCUGCAAAAACAUAAAAUAGGCAAACGUGAGUACAAAUGUACCCAGCAAGACUUACAUCAGAACUAACUACAUAUGCAUCAUUAUCAACAAAGGGAUGGUGGGGGUUUAACUGCAGCAAGCCAGCUUUGACUCGGUGGCUAUCCUGAACUACGACUGCAAGUAACUCUUUUGAGGUGGCGCACACGAGUCCACAUAUUCACCAUAUCAAUACACCACUAUGGAUCCGCUCCCGUCUCCCUACGAGAACGCCAUCCAUAGCACUCACGCUUAUCUUGCGUAUUUUAGUUAUCCUCUUUCACUUGUCUAUGAACUGAUAUAAGCAACCCAGAAGUCCUUUACCGCGGACACGGCUAUUCGAACAGAUGAUGUUAACCCUGCAGGGGUGUACUUCUUCAUACAUGUUUCCACCACUUAGCGUCUGCACACGACAUGUGCUCGGCAGACUUCAAGCGAAAGCCGACGUGGGUGUAGACCACGACCUACCUAAACACUCGAGUCUCUAGUCCAGGUUUAUCGCCUAUUCGGGUUCCAUCCAUGAGGAGAUCCGGCCGGGGUUUCGCUCACAGCCCCAAACGAUGUGAACAGGGUUCCGUGACACCAAACGGGCGCCCGGUAUACCCGGCCACGUGCCUACCGCAUCACAGCCCACCCCUACGGUCAGCGCUGUCCACGGCCUCCAGCAUACUACAAACACCAGAAACUACUUGCAACUCCUGGACAGAGGACAAGGGUGAAUAAGAAGUCGAGCGGGGUCAUAUUUCAGGGCCCAAUGCAUGGUAGUAGCUGAAUCAUGGAUCACAAACACAGAGCUCAGUUCCUAAGGACGGCUUCAAUGAGACAACCCACCAUGUACUCCUACAUGGCCUCUCACCGAUACCUUUUACCAAAUCGUGUUCACACACUUAGCUCACACACAGUAGGACAUGUUCACACACCUCUGAUUCAUCCCCGAUGAAUCAGACCUGACUCAACUCUAAGCAGUAGCAGGCAUGACAAACAAGCAUGAAUGAGUAGGCACAACAGGGCUCAAACAACUCCUACUCAUGCUAGUGGGUUUCAUCUAUUUACUGUGGAAUGACAGGUCAUGCAAAGGAUAAAGGGGUUCAGCUACCGCAGCAAGUAACAAAUGACUCGUUGUUGUCCUAAUGCAGUAAAAGAGAGCAGGGCGAGAGAGUAGGAUUGUAUCGGAAUGAACAAGGGGUUUUUGCUUGCCUGGCACUUCUGAAGAUAAUAUAGUUCUUCAUCGGUGUCAUCGAUCUCAUCGUCGGUAUCACGUCUAUCGAGAGGGGACAAAUACCGGCAACACAGAAAAGAACACAAUCAAUGCAAUGCACAAUAUGAUGCAUGAUCAUGACAUGGAAAAAAUGAGUGUGUUGGGAUAAUGCAACUAUAAUCGGAUGAAUUUGAGUUAGUUUGAACCCAAGGUUCAAGUUCAAAUUGAAACUAUGACUUAAAAAAGUGCAUUAUCAUGUUUUGAUAUAAACAACAGGUUUAACUUGCUUAAACAUGCAUGAAACCAGUGCAGAUGGAUAGAUUGGAUUUUUCUGAUCAUUUUUCAUAUAUAACUUAUUUCAUUUGGAGUUACGGUUGAAUUUCUAUGAAUUUUAGAAGUUUAGAUCAUUUUCUGAAAUUUAUAAAUCAUUUCCGAUUUAUUUUAAUUCCAGAAAAUGUUUACUGCGUCAGCAUUAGGUCAUGCUGACCUCAGCAGGUCAACAGGCGCCGCCAGGUCAAACCUGACCAGUGGGGCCCACUGGUCAGUGACUGGGGCUGGUUAGUGUCGCUGACAUGUGGGCCCAGUCAACAGCCACGUCAGCUUGGUCAAAGCUGACGUGUGGGCCCACUGAGAUUAAUUUAAACUAAACAGAAACUAAUCUACAUUUAAUUAGACAACGGGGCCUAGCUGUCAGCGAAUGAGCUUUGGCUAAACAUAGUAAUUAGACAAAUCUAAUCCGUCCACGUCAGCACACCGGAGAAUGGCCGGCGGCGACCUCAAACGCGGCGGAGGGUUGCCGGAGUGGCGCUACGGGUGGUGUUGGGCCAAGCCAAGGGCAUCAGAAGGUUGCCCUUGCUCGCGCGCAUCCAGGGGAGGCACGCGGGAGGGCGCGGGGUGGCCGGAUCUCGCCGGAGCGAGCUUGCGGCGGCGGCCGGAGGUCGGCCUCGAGCGGCUAGGGGGCUACGAUGCAGCUACGGACGAGCUACUAGGUGCGUUCGGCUCCUAGGAGCGAGGUGAGGACGAUGACGCGCUCGGGCGCAAGCUGCAGCGUCCGUAGCGGCAGCGGCGACAAGGUCAGCGGCGGCCGGAGUUCGGCCGCGACGGAGAUAUGGCCUAGAGCUCGCAACGCGAGGGGAAAGAGUGGGGUUCGGAUCAGGAGCUCACUGCAAGGUCGGAGAGAAGCUCGGCGGGCUCGGGGGCGCGCCGGAGUGGCUGGAUCGACGAAGAAGAGCGCCGGAGCCGAAGCUUGAAGACGAAGAUGAUGGCGGCUGCUCGGGGCCUCCGUGCUUCCUUCCUUCGGUGCAGAGGUGAAUCAAGAGGUGGCGGAGGCUCUGGAUAGCUCGGGGAGGCAAGGCGAUGGUGGUGGGCGCGGCGGCUCACGGCGGCGUGCUCAGGCGCGUGAGGGGGAGAGCGAGGGAGAGAGACAGAGGAAAAGGGAGGGCACGGGGGAAGAGUGCGAGAGGGUCGGGGUAGUACGUGGCGGCUCCAGGAGCCUCUCCCGCCUCGGCGGAAGCAGGAGGUGGCCACGGCGUGUGGCCGCAGGCGCCGGGCACGCGCCUCUCGUCCUCCUGGUGAGAGGAGGGGGAUGACUGGCAGAGGGCUUGGUGGGCUGGGCCGCACAGUAGUGGGCAUCUGGGCUGUAGGUAAGCGCCAGGUAGUCCUUCUCUCUCUCUCUCUUUUAUUUCUAUUUUUGUUCUAUUUUCUAUUUAUGCAAAUUUGUUUUAAUUUGGUUUUCAAACCAAAUCACUAUUAAAAAUUCUGGAAAUAGUUAUGGGCACUAAAUGAAUUAUUCCAGAGGCUCUCAACUAAUUCCAAAAUUGUUGGAGCAUUUAAAAAUAUUUAUAGUAUUUAAAUGCCCCAAUUCAAAUAUAAUAUGAGUUAAUUCAAAAAUACAGAAUGGCCUAAAAAAUAUGUGCAUCAUUUUUGGCAGAGGUUCUAGACCAAUUCAAAAAUGAUGGACAUUUAUGAAGGCAUUUUGGGUUCGUUGAAAAAAAAACUAAUUUUGACCCUAGUUGAAUUCAUUUGGUGUCAGGGUUUCAACACCCCCCAUUUCAAGUUAAAUAAAAUUUAAACAUGAUGCACACAUGAAGCUAGCCUAGUGCAAAGGCAGAGGCUAGGGACAUGACAGUGGGCGCGAGCCUCGAUGCACCGAGUGCCAACGGCGUCGAUAAACCCGGCCUGGGAGAGCCAGAAGGUCUCAAACCGGAAUCGAGGGGUGACCGGCGGACGUUCGUCGGCAAAAGGGAGGAGAAGGGGUACAUGAUCUGAACCAAUCCUCGUGAUGGCGUGAAGGGAGGCUAAGGGGCAGCGGAGGUCCCAAUCCGGGGACACUAGGACUCGGUCCAGGACAGACUGGGUCGGGGAGGCUUGCCGGUUGGUCCAGGUGAACCAGGCACCAAUCCUAUCGAUCUCGCGGAGACCGAGGUCCGCAAUGAAGUCAUUGAACAUUUGCAUCCGCGCAAAGUAGACAUUAUCAUUGCUCUUGUCUUCCGCCACGCGCAGGAGGUUAAAAUCGCCUCCCACCACCAACGGAAGGGAGGCUGCGGAGAUCUUCCGGUGGAGCUCCUCGAAGAAGGCAGCCGACCGACUAUGGUCAGCAGGCCCGUAGACAAUGAUGACCUCCCACUUGAAGUUUAGAGACCUCUCGAACAACUCCAUGCUCACAAAGAAUUCCCCUCGAUCCAUGCUACCCACCUCAAAUGUGGCAUCCUUCACGCCUAAAAGGAUACCACCCGAGUGGCCGGCGCUCCCACUAGAAGGGAGUCAAUGACACGCAAAGAGGUGGGAGCUUAGACGGUCAAGCUCAGGGAGCGAGAAUUCGAGUCGCAUGGUUUCUUGAAUGGCAACUAUGUCGAUGUGUUCCUCCCGCAUAUACUCCACAAGUUGGCGGCGUCGGCCAUCAUGACCGAAACCGCGGAUGUUCCAGAAUAAUGCACGCAUUAAGGCGCCAUUGGGGGGCUGCUUGACCCCAGGACACGAGAGGCGCUUUGCGCACGGAGGGCCGCGGUGCGGGAGCGAGUGCGACCACGGAUCUCCUCCCCCACUGGCGGGGGGGGGGGGGUAUGGAGCUGUCAGCCGCGACGCGGUCGGGGGAGAGGGGUCUCACCAGCCGCGGGCGGGACGGGAGGUAGAAGGAAGGCCGCACGGGCCUCCGCCAGCCUCCCGUCAAGAAUCUCGCGAGCUCUAAUAGCCGCGAUCUGGACUAAGGGGGGACCUGCUUCCCCCCUAAAAAUGAUUGCGGUCAAAGGCAACCUUUGCGAGGUUGCCUAGAGGAAUAGCCUCAAGCGCAACGAAGGAACAAGACGAAGCCGAAGGGGGAACGACAGGCGUACCUGGCUCCAGGUUCCGAGCAGCAGCGCGGAGCUCCGCCCGCUCGGGGAUGGGCAGAGCCGGACUGCCCUCGGGGUGAGCAGCAUCCAGCCGAGCGCUCCGACGGGAAGCAAUCACCGGGGAGGAUGCCGACCGGCAGUGGGCGAGAGUAGGCGGCGGACCGUGGAGGAGGGGGCUGGGCAGCCAUGGGGGUGGUCACCCUAGCCUCCCCGUCCAUGGUCGGGGCCUCCGCGGGUGAAGCCAGGGACGCGGGCACGGUGCAGCUGAGGAGGAGCGGAGCCGGGGACGGAGUCGCGGACGGAAGCAACAUCGGCGAAGGGGGGAUCGCAUAGCCCGCGGCUGAGGCCGCCCGCGGGAGCGGCGGAGGAGGUGGCGCCUCGGGCGGUGUGGGCUGAGCGACCGCGGGAGGCGAAGCCGGAGGGGGGGAGUCCGCCACAGGGGGCUCAUGAGGGGCCACCGAGGCCGCUGGAAGCAGACUGGGAGCCGGAGCUGUCGAGUCCAGCGCGACGGGAGCAGACGAGGAAGGGGAGCGUGGUGAAGAUGCCGGGCAGACCAGGCCCACGCUGGAGAUGUCGCUUGCCUCGGAGGACGUCGCCACAGAGUCCGAGGGACCGCCGAGAAGCAUGCUGGGUGCGGCCUGGCGGCCCUUGGCCCCCGCGGUAGGGGGAGGGGGCGAAGGGGACGGGGAGCGGGAGUCCUCCGAGCCUCCCUCCUCAUCCGAGUGGUGGGAGCGCGCACGGUGACGACCGUGGUAGUCCCCGUCGGUCCCCGGGUUGCCGCCGGGGAGGCCAGUGUCGAAGGAGCGGGGGCGACCGACGUGGUUGGGGGGCUCGGGGGCGAUCCUGAGAUCGAAGCCCUGGUCGUUGAAGAAGACGCGGACGGUGGUGUGAAGCUUGGAGGAGUCGAGGCACUUGACCUUGACCCGGACCUCCUCCUCCUUGCGUAGAGAGAGCUCAUCGACCACCACCACCUUGCCCAAGAGGCGGGACAUCUGGCGAAUGCCGAGCUCGGACCGCGCAAUAUCAGGGAGGCCGGCCACAAGUAUCCAAACGGUGUCGAGGACGGCCACGGCCUGAGCGUCGAGGAUCGGCUCGGAGAUGUCGACAACCAGUUGGUUGAGAGCGAGCGUGAUCCGGCCACUGCGAGUCACGUAGCCGUAGCUGACGGAGUCGGGGAAGACGACGGUGAAGAUGUGGCCAGCAGUGGGGGUGACCACCCAGUCCCAUUGACGACGGUAGAGGUGGUUGAGCUCGGCCUCAAUCAUCUCCGGGGAUGCCACCCCGUCGACCACAGUGACGACCGCCUGGAGGGUGGGAGAGGGCGGCGGGACGUCGGGGACCUCGAGGUGGAAGAAGACCAACCCCUCGAUACCGUGGCCGUACAUCAUGAGCUCAGACACCACCGGUCUAUCCGGGCACAGGAGAGCGGGGUGGCCCGGAUCCUUGCAGAGGUAGCAGCAUUGGGGAUUGACACAGUUGACUUGCGAAUGGCCCCCCACCCCGCAGUUGAAACAGGGGGGGCGAGGGAGACCAGAGACGGGCUCGGGCAUGGCGGAAGAUCCCGGGGCCGCCGAGGGGGGCACGGGCGGAGCGCCGCGGGCACCCCGACGCUUCUUCUUCUUGGCCGGCCCAGCGCGGCUGCGCGCGGUGCCACCGCCCGAGGCCGGAACCGAAGCCGUGGCCGUGGGAGCGGAGGCAUGGGGCGGCACGUAACGACGGGGAGCAGNNNNNNNNNNNNNNNNNNNNNNNNNNNNNNNNNNNNNNNNNNNNNNNNNNNNNNNNNNNNNNNNNNNNNNNNNNNNNNNNNNNNNNNNNNNNNNNNNNNNNNNNNNNNNNNNNNNNNNNNNNNNNNNNNNNNNNNNNNNNNNNNNNNNNNNNNNNNNNNNNNNNNNNNNNNNNNNNNNNNNNNNNNNNNNNNNNNNNNNNNNNNNNNNNNNNNNNNNNNNNNNNNNNNNNNNNNNNNNNNNNNNNNNNNNNNNNNNNNNNNNNNNNNNNNNNNNNNNNNNNNNNNNNNNNNNNNNNNNNNNNNNNNNNNNNNNNNNNNNNNNNNNNNNNNNNNNNNNNNNNNNNNNNNNNNNNNNNNNNNNNNNNNNNNNNNNNNNNNNNNNNNNNNNNNNNNNNNNNNNNNNNNNNNNNNNNNNNNNNNNNNNNNNNNNNNNNNNNNNNNNNNNNNNNNNNNNNNNNNNNNNNNNNNNNNNNNNNNNNNNNNNNNNNNNNNNNNNNNNNNNNNNNNNNNNNNNNNNNNNNNNNNNNNNNNNNNNNNNNNNNNNNNNNNNNNNNNNNNNNNNNNNNNNNNNNNNNNNNNNNNNNNNNNNNNNNNNNNNNNNNNNNNNNNNNNNNNNNNNNNNNNNNNNNGGUGGCGGGCCGGUCGAACGGGGCGAGGGAGCGGCCGGAGUCGAAGCAGGGGGGGAUGCGACGGGGAGGAGAUGGGGACGAGGAGAGGUGGCGGCGCUGGGGAGAGGGGGUCGCGGGAAGCCGCAGGGUAACCAUAUGGAUGGGGCCAGCGCCCUAGGGCAACCCAGCGGCCCAACGCUAGUGGGCCGGCCCGGGGGGAGGGGAGACCAUCCGGUAUGGCAUCACUGCGGCCCAGCUGCCGGGGCGGGCCGGGGCCCAGCAGCCCAGGAACACCAGCGGCCCGGCCCAGGCGACGGGGAGGCACGGGAGCCCUAAGGGUUUCCCUCCCAGGGGCGGGCGCCGCCGCCGCCGCCGGCGUGGCUCCGGCGCAGGCAGCCAGGGCAGAGGGAUCCCGACGGACCGAGAGGAACCGGAGGUUCGAGAACCCGAAGGCCGCGAUAAAGGGCCUAAAGGGGGAGGAUCGCACGCACGGGGUCGGGGGAGAGCAGGCGGAGAUCGACGCCGAGGGAGAUGGGUAGGCCGCCGGCCGGGCCUCCGCCGCCGGGCGGCGCCAGGAGGAGCGGGCGGCACCCCGGCCGGAGCGGCCAGCCACGCCCCAGGAGCGUCCGCGCCGGCGGCGAGCAGCGCCACCAGCCAAGCCCGCACCUUGGCGCUCCACCGCCCGAGUCGAGCUCGAGGGCGUCGUCGGCUGCGACUGCGGCGUUCGCGGGCCAGCAGCAGAACCCCUCACGUGGGGGGCUGAGCUGCCAGCCCGGCGCGGCAGCGCGGCGGCGAGCGAGGGGGUGGGGGCUGGGGGGGGGGACGGCUCAUCGUUGGCGAAGUCGGCCCAACGGAUCCGAGGCGCGGAGGGGGCGGCAGCAGGAGCGGCUGGAGGGGAGGGAGGCGCCGCGGCCGCCGGAGCGGGGCACUCGCUGGAGGGGGCAGCUGGGAUGGAGGCGGGGGGCGCCACCGGCGGCGGGUGCGCGCCGGCGCAGGCGCCAGAAUCGCCAGAGCACGGGAGCUCCAUCCCGCUCCUAUACCUAUAUCCCCCGCUGCGUAUUUGGCUGCUCCGUCCUUGCUAUUUAGUUAAGUUCUAGUCGUGGCAUGCCAUUUAGAGUUUCUUCUUUAAGAGAAUCAUCUGCUAACUGGUUGUGGCAAAAGCUUGACCAAACCUUGGUUUUUGUUCCAUACCAUUUUGUGAAUGUUUAACUGACUGUAACUGGUCCUCUGAGAAUACUGUACUCAAUGAUGUAAAAAAACUGGAAAUAUUUUACUGCCCCUACGGCCAUUGAUCUGUCACUUGAUGCAUUCACGUAUUUACACAGCAGCCCUAGUAUCUGAUCAUAUAUUCUGGGAUAUGGCUGAAUGGUAUCAAGAACAACUUACAUGAAUCUCGUAGAAGAACUGAAUUAGAUCUUGUUCUGAAGUUGGAGCUCUUUUAGGGUGCUCUAUCUUACCACAUUAGAGGUAAGAGGUGGUUUAAAUCUGAGUGGUUGGUUGAUGAAAGUUUGAAGGUUAUUUUGGGCCCUAGUGCAGAUAAGGCUAAUAAGGAAACCUACAAUUAAUUUGGUAAGGUAGAUAGGCACAGACGUUUCCCUACAAAUCACGAGAGACAUGUUUAAAUGCACAUUACUUCCCAUGUUCCCAUCUCAGCCCAGGGAUACACAUCCUGCAUGACUAUUGAUUUAAAUCAGAUGGUUGCAAAAAGAUCUAGACCACAGUUUUCUGCAGUUUCAGUUAUGUAUUGCUAAUUUGAAUGAUCAAAUAAUAUUUGAGAGCAAUGUUUAGUGUUAAAUUUUAUGACAGCUUGAAAUGGAAGUGUCAGAUUCAGACUUACAUAUAAAGUUAGUAUUAUAAGGCAAUAGGCAUAAAUUAAUUAUCAAAUUUUAAUCAUGAAGUUUGUUUUUUCUGUAGUAAUGUACUUGUAUGUUUAAUAGUGAUAAUUUGGUAUAUAUGUUUGAAUUUCUUUAUUUUUCUUUCAUUUUUCUGAAAGGGUGUUUAUUUUUAAUAAAUCCAGACACACAAUUCAAGAAAUAAUCAUUACAUUUUUCCUGUCAAAUGUGAGUCUCGAUAUAUAAUUUUAUGUACAAUAAUAAAUUAUGGUAUUAGGUCAGACUGGCUUCCUUUUCUUAAAUAUGUUGAUUAUUUAGAAUUAUUUACCAAUUAUUUCAUGUAUUGCUGCGCCCACUUCCCUCUACGAGUUAAUAGAUCACCCUUAGCCACUAGACCAAGGCAAAGAGAGGGUUUUCACAAAAGUGUGUCUUAUUUUAUAUUGGUUAAAGUGAAAAAACUAAUUAAUAAAAAUGUUAAAAACUUGAUCUCGUUGACUGAUAGAUCUCCGAGUAUAGUAUUUUUCUCCACGAACUUGAUGAUUUCUGUUUGUUGCAGGCCCAGUUUUUGUUAGAUGGGUCCUCUGGCUCUGGCAUGUGGAUUGUCCCUAUAACUUCAGGCUGUGGUGCAUAUGAUACAGAGAAAAAGUUGUUGUUGAAACUUAAACAUGAUAAGCUGGUCAUUGGUUCACAAUGUGGUGACCGAAAGAAGGGCGGAAACUUUUGGACUAAGUUGAAUAUAAAUGGAACCGGAUUUUACAGAGUUAAAUAUGACGAUGAGCUUGCAGCUGCACUUCAAAAUGCGUUGGAGACCAAGAAGCUCUCACUAAUGGAUAAAAUUGGUAAACGCAACAUGUGACCAUUGAAUCUGCUUGUAAUAUUUUGGUGGCAGGUAUUAUAACAUUACCAUUGCAGGCAUCCUGGAUGACUUAUAUGCGCUUUCUAUUGCCCGCCAACAAACAUUUGCGUCGUUGCUACAUUUACUCUACGGUUAUCGUGGGCAAGCUGAUUAUAGUGUUCUUUCACACAUAAACACUGUACGUAAAUCCUGUAGGUCCAGUUGAUUCUAUCGUGUUCAAUUGUUCCUGAAGAUAAAUCGCCUAUAUCUUUACUUUGGAUUGGCAGGUAACCACAAGUAUUGCUAAAAUAUCUGCUGAUGCUACUCCUGCCUUGGCUGGUGACAUCAAGCAACUUUUGAUCAAGAUUCUUUUGUCACCUGCAGAGUAUGCCCCACCAUAACUGCUAUGAGUUUCUUAAUGUGUUACACUCACAAUAUAUCAUCUCUUUUGUUUCACAAAAAGGAAAAGGAAACAUAAUAUGUCACUAAUCUUCUUCCUAACUUCUCAUGUUGCUUGAACAUUCCUUCUUUUGUGGCCGAUGCAUGACAAUUGCAUGAUUCUUUCACGUUAUUACUGUAUAUUUGCUACAUUUUCCUAUGUUUCUUCUUUUUGACUAUGUGACACUUAUCUUUCAGAAAGUUAGGCUGGGACCCCAAGAAGGGUGAGAGCCACCUGGAUGUAAUGCUUAGACCACUGCUGUUGACUGCACUUGUCCAACUUGGACAUGGUAAGACCAUUAAUGAAGGAGUUAGGCGCUUUAACAUCUUCACACGUGAUCGCGGCACUUCUCUUCUUCCUCCGGAUACUAGAAAGGUCCUGCCUUUUGCUAUCACUUCACGUGGUACCUAUGAUUACUUCUUCCAUUUGUAACUUGCGCUGUUCUGCAGGCCGCAUACCUCUCUGUGAUGCAGAAUGUUAGUAGUUCAAACAGAUCCGGUUAUGAUGCUCUCCGAAAAAUCUACAAGGAGUCAGCUGAAGGGGAGGAAAGAUUACAAGUCUUAGGUGUGUAGCCCUUUGACCAUCUUAAACUAACAAAGCUUGCCCAUGUUUUUGGUUGUUCUAAAAGCAUUUUCUUAUUGUUUCAAGGCAUAUUAUCUUCUUGCCGGGAUAAUAGUAUCGUCCUUGAAUCACUGAAUUUAAUUUUCACUAAUGAGGUAAAUGCAAAUAUCAUUACUUUCUUCCACAUUUAUAGUCGAAGGUUUCUAUGAGCUUACUUGUGUGUCAAGGGCAAGCUGUACUCAGGUCUCAUAUGCCUCUCUUGCUUGUCAGGUUCGCAAUCAAGAUGCAUAUAUUCUCCUUAGAGGUAUUCAACCAGAGGCACGUGAAAUUUCGUGGAACUGGUUGAAGGUACGAUCUCUUUUAACAAUGAGUACCCUUUUAUCUAUGUGUGUUGACGUGUUGUUGAUGCGUAAAAGUCGUUAUUUCUGGGUCCUGUCUGGAACAUCAGAUUCUUGUAGGCAUUCUAAACAAAUUUGAAUAUCCAUUCAUGAGAAUAUGCUUCUUUUUCUACCAACUUCAUUGAGAUUUCUGCAUUACAAAGAGGACCCAGGGUUCUUCUGUAUUUGUCAACAAGAACUCAAGUCAAGUGGCAUAUUUGCAAACAGCUGAACCAUAUUUGUGAAUUUAUUUCGGGAUCCCGAUUUCUUUAAAUGGAUUUCCCUUGUAAAUGUAUUUUAACUAGAGUGAAUUUGAGGCAGCACCCAACCAUCUAUUUUUUGUAGUUCCUUCAUAUGACACCUUAGGAGAUGACUGAUGGUUCAUACUUGGUGUUAGCAGACUGAAACAUUUGAAAACAUGGUGCUAACAUUUGUCCCAUUCUGUCUGUCUGCAGGAAAACUGGGAGCGCAUCUCAAAGAUAUUUGCCGGGAGCUUGGUUACGGAUUUUGUUAAAACCAUUGUUCCAUUGGUACAUUUAAUCACAGUUCUAUUGCCCUAUUUCCGUGAUCAUAUUCCCCAGUUUUGCAGGUAUUAUUUCCAUGAGGCCAUAGCUAAUGUGGACUUCCUUGUUUCUUGUCAGUUCACCUCCAACGAGAAGGCCGCAGAGAUCUCCAAGUUCUUUGCAACGCGCACAAAGCCUGGAUUCGAGAGGACGCUGAAGCAGAGCCUUGAAACCGUGCGGAUCAGCGCGAGAUGGGCCGAGGGCAUCAGGAGUGAGCCCGGGCUUGCACAGACGGUGCGCGAGCUCCUGGCCAAGCCCUGACGUGCUGCAGCUAGAGUGCUAGGUUACAGUUGUUGUUGGCAAUAAGAAUGCAUUUGUGCCUUAUCAUGUGUGGAAACUGUGGCUUGAGAUGGUAUUUGGUUGUACAUUUGUAGUGGUGGUGGUAGUGAGUCAGCUGAUUGCAGUUUGUAGCCAAAUCAUUUAUUGUUAUGAAUGCAUGUGGUGCAAACGGGUUGUAUGAAGAAUGAGAACAAGGAGGAACUAG